rnacentral:lncRNA from 1 species
UACAAUGCUUGGAUUUUCUUUUCUAUCUUUCUCUGUCUUUGAGUUUUUGUUCUAUUCUCUGGGAGAUUUUCUUGACCCAUCAGUGUGCUGUAUUCAGGAGACUAUCUCAUGUGCAGACACACAUAGGCUCAAAAUAAAGGGAUGGAGGAAGAUCUACCAAGCAAAUGGAAAACAGAAAAAGGCAGGGGUCGCAAUCCUAGUCUCUGAUAAAAAAAAAAAAAAAACAAUUUUUUUUUUUUUUUUUUUUUUUUUUUUUUUUUUUUUUUUUUUUUUUUUUUUUUUUUUUUUUUUUUUUUUUUUUUUUUUUUUUUUUUUUUGAGACGGAGUCUCACUCUGUUGCCCAGACUGGAGUACAAUGCUACAAUCUUGGCUCACUGCAACCUCUGCCUCCCAGGUUCACGCCAUUCUCCUGCCUCAGCCUCCUGAGUAGCUGGGACCACA